UACAGAGGGUGCAAGCGUUGUUCGGAAUUAUUGGGCGUAAAGCGCGUGUAGGCGGCGUGGCAAGUCGGGUGUGAAAGCCCUCAGCUCAACUGAGGAAGUGCGCCCGAAACUGCUGUGCUUGAGUGCCGGAGAGGGUGGCGGGAAUUCCCCAAGUAGAGGUGAAAAUUCGUAGAUAUGGGGGAGGAACACCGGUGGCGAAGGCGGCC
rnacentral:rRNA from 1 species